rnacentral:rRNA from 1 species
AUGCUGGAUUGGAGCUGGAGGUACAGGUGUAAGGUGUGGGUGCACACUCCCGUGGACGCGGACACCGACCACAUGGACGCCAAGGUGAGGAGUUGCGUCGUCCCGGCAUGGAGGCGGCCAUGGACGCGGGCGGCAGGACAGGUACCUGCCAGUGUUGUCCGACAUGCCGCCGUAGGAAUGAGGGAUCGUCCUCCGUCUCUGCAUCAACAAGCAGGUCAAGGCAAGGAGCCCCCGUUCCUGGGGUUGAUGAUUAGCUGGUCAGUUCCGGUUAUGUAUCUAAUCUACUACUCCCUCCGUAAAGAAAUGUAA